GUGUUGUUGGUCCUCUGGGUCUAAGAAACAGGAAGGAGUUAUUAUUUAGCAAGAAGUAACAUUUAAUCGGUGUCGCCUUUCUUUGUUAAAAACUCUGAGGCGUCCUUUUAUACUGUAGCUGUAAUCUUUUGUUGUUUGUCUCGUAUUUUGUUCGUCUGAACACGUGAAAUCACGGCGCUAAGUUACACGAGUUGCUGUGGAAACUUUAUUUCUGCUUCAGACACGUUGAGCCUCAGUGAUCGUGAACCUUCGUGCAGAUGAAGAUGAUGAUGAAGCAGACGAUGAUGGUGAAACCCUCAUGUGUCGGAGCGCGUCUUCUAACUGUUACUGGAGAAACAAGACUGAAGCUCAGACCUUUCCAAAGGCUGAGUCCCUGAGCUGUGAGGAUCAUGAGGACCAGCUGGACAGUCCACUGUCCACUCCACAGCCCUGAGGAAGGAGGGAUGGCCUCUGGAGAAUCUGUACCAGCCUCAGGAAUGGACACCGAUAUCAGCUGACUGGUCCUUCACUCCUUCAUUCUGAUAAUUCACUACACUAAUGUACUGUUUUAACAUAAUAAAACACUCCUGAGCAAACUUUUA